AUUGAACGCUGGCGGCAGGCCUAACACAUGCAAGUCGAACGAGUGGCGGACGGGUGAGUAAUGUCUGGGAAACUGCCUGAUGGCGGGGGAUAAAUACUGGAAACGGUAGCUAAUACCGCAUACCAUCAACUGAUCCCAGAUGGGAUUAGGUUGUUGGUGGGUUAAAGGCUCACCAAGGCGACGAGCCCGAGCUGGCCUGAGAGGAUGACCGGCCACACUGGAACGGAGACACGGUCCGGACUCCUAGGGGAGGCAGCAGUGGGGAAUAUUGCACAAUGGGCGAAAGCCUGACGCAGCCAUGCCGCGUGUAUGAAGAAGGCCUUCGGGUUGUAAAGUACUUUCAGCGGGGAGGCGUUACCUGCAGAAGAAGCACCGGCUAACUCCGUGCCAGCCGCCGCGGUAAUUC
rnacentral:rRNA from 1 species